GGGAAGGUGGCUCAGUGGUAGAGUAUUUGCCUUGCAUGCAUAAGGCCCUGGG
rnacentral:tRNA from 1 species